rnacentral:rRNA from 1 species
UACGUAGGGUGCGAGCGUUAUUCGGAAUUACUGGGCGUAAAGCGUGCGCAGGCGGUUUUGUAAGUCAGAUGUGAAAUCCCCGGGCUUAACCUGGGAAUGGCAUUUGGGACUGCAAGGCUCGAGUGCGGCAGAGGAGACUGGAAUUCCUGGUGUAGCAGUGAAAUGCGUAGAUAUCAGGAGGAACACCGGUGGCGAAGGCGGAUCUCUGGGCCAUUACUGACGCUGAGGAGCGAAAGCGUGGGGAGCAAACAGG